AGAACGAACGCUGGCGGCGUGGAUAAGACAUGCAAGUCGAACGGGACAUUGUGAGUAGCAAUACGAGCGAUGUCUAGUGGCGAACGGGUGCGUAACACGUGGAUACAUUCCGGGAAGCGGGGGAUAGCCCAGGGAAACUUGGAUUAAUACCGCAUGUGGUCGAAAGACUAAAGGCAGGGACCGCAAGGCCUGCCACUUCCCGAUUGGUCCGCGGCCUAUCAGCUAGUUGGCGGGGUAAAAGCCCACCAAGGCUACGACGGGUAGCUGGUCUUAGAGGACGACCAGCCACACUGGAACUGAGACACGGUCCAGACACCUACGGUGGCAGCAGUCGAGAAUCUUUCACAAU
rnacentral:rRNA from 1 species